rnacentral:lncRNA from 1 species
GCUGUUAAAACUGACUUUAUAUGUGACAUAAACAUUUUUUUUUUUUUUUUUUUUUUUUUUUUAGGAUAAUUACAAAUCAGAUGACGAUAGUUAUAUGAAUAAUCAAAAUUCAUGCAACGAUGACUAUGAUUAUGACAAUGGCGAUUAUAACCAAGGAAACUCAAAAAUGGUUUAUAACAAAAAUGUUGAAGAUGCUGAUUAUUACGCAUUAAAACAACGAUGUAGAGACACACGUUAUUAUGAUAGCACCUAUUAAAAUCAUGAUGCGCAUAUGUUUGCACAAAUUUAUAUCAUGUAUACAUAUAUAUAAAUGUGCAAAGUUCAUUUCUGUUUUUACACACUCUUUACAUAUAUGUUUUCUUAUUUUUUAAUUACCUAUUUAUAAAGUUUGUUAUUUUUAUUGUACCUAUUUGUAACAUUUUUAAUCAAUUAUUUUAUCUUAUAUAUAUUUUUUUUUAUAUAAUUUUUUUUUUUUAUAAUUUUUUUUUUUUUUUUUAUAUAAGAAUAGAAUAUGCAAAAUACAUAAAAAUUAUUAUGUAAAUAUAUGUUUUUAGAAAGUGCUUUGUCCAAUUAUGUGAUUGUGAAAAUAAAAAAAAAAAUAAAUAAAUAAAUGAAUAAAAU